AUGGAGAUCGUCUUCAAACAAGAACUCCUCUCGCUGACCAUCUUUCUGCUGUGGACUCCAGGUCUGACUGACGGCAGUGAUGUCACCCAGACCUCCGUGGUGUGGAAACUCCUCGGUGACGAUGCAACGAUGGACUGCAGACACACCAAGGGAAGCCUCUAUUACCAGAUGUACUGGUACAGACAGCUGCCUGGAGAAGCCAUGAAACAGAUGGUGUACACUGUUGAAAACACCAAACCUGACUUUGAAGCAGAAUUCAGGAACGGAAAGUUCUCGGUCACCAGGCCUCACGUUUCCAGCGGGACGUUAACGGUGAAGGAUCUGACGCCGGCAGAUCAAGGCCUGUAUUUCUGUGCAGUCAGACACACGGUGAUGCAGAUUCAUGGAAGUCUGCACAAAAACCUCACAACAGGGCGGCCCCUGACCAAAUUGGGGCCCUAA